GAUGAACGCUGGCGGCGUGCCUAAUACAUGCAAGUCGAGCGAACGGACGAGAAGCUUGCUUCUCUGAUGUUAGCGGCGGACGGGUGAGUAACACGUGGAUAACCUACCUAUAAGACUGGGAUAACUUCGGGAAACCGGAGCUAAUACCGGAUAAUAUUUUGAACCGCAUGGUUCAAAAGUGAAAGACGGUCUUGCUGUCACUUAUAGAUGGAUCCGCGCUGCAUUAGCUAGUUGGUAAGGUAACGGCUUACCAAGGCAACGAUGAAUAGCCGACCUGAGAGGGUGAUCGGCCACACUGGAACUGAGACACGGUCCAGACUCCUACGGAGGCAGCAGUAGGGAAUCUUCCGCAAUGGGCGAAAGCCUGACGGAGCAACGCCGCGUGAGUGAUGAAGGUCUUCGGAUCGUAAAACUCUGUUAUUAGGGAAGAACAUAUGUGUAAGUAACUGUGAACAUCUUGACGGUACCUAAUCAGAAAGCCACGGCUAACUACGUG
rnacentral:rRNA from 1 species